GCAGAGACUCACUAAAUAUUUUCUACCUCUAACGUAUUUGUAAUAGCGGCGAGGAUGUAAUUGCAGUUCCGGAGCUUCUCAUAUCUUGUCUUGUUCUAUUGCCAGCGUUCCUUCUUUGCAUGACUCAUCCGGCAGCAAUUAAUCUUCAAAACUUAUCAUUUCAAUUUUCAGAUGUGGCGUAAGAUUUUUCUUCGUCCUCUAGUAGAUAG
rnacentral:misc_RNA from 1 species